CCGCGCCCUGGCGCCGCGGAGAUGCGGCCCUCCCAACUUCUUCCUGAGCGAUUCUCACCGCCACGGCUCACCCUGCUGAUUGCACAAAACGCAAGCCGCCUCCCUGCCUCCCCCCAGUGGCAAACCCAUAAGUAGUGAGUUGUGUGGAGACGUGACAUCCGGCUCUGCGCUGUGACCGUGAGACACACUUGGAUCUGUGUGUUUGUUUCUUCCGUUUAAACUCCGUCCUAAUUCGAGGGGAAAAUAUAUCACAAGCCUACGACCUUGGAAGUUUCCCUUUUUUCUCCUGCAUCUCCCCCUCAUUCUCUGCCUCAAGACAGUUUCUUGCAUCCUGCCUGGCAGCACCUACUGAGGCUAGUAACACCCGAGUCAAAUCGUUCUCUCUCUGUCGGGGAACGGAAGUGAGGCCCUCGCUUGAACGGCCACUCUUCGAAACAUGUCACCGCCUCUGCCUUUUGCAAGAUUGCAAUGGUUGGCAAAAUGAAUGACCUCAUCUCCCUGGCUCAAGUUAUCAGCUUGCCCAAUCUCUGGAACUUUCU